GAUGAACGCUGGCGGCGUGCCUAAUACAUGCAAGUCGAGCGAACAGAUGAGGAGCUUGCUCCUCUGACGUUAGCGGCGGACGGGUGAGUAACACGUGGAUAUCCUACCUAUAAGACUGGGAUAACUUCGGGAAACCGGAGCUAAUACCGGAUAAUAUAUUGAACCGCAUGGUUCAAUAGUGAAAGACGGUUUUGCUGUCACUUAUAGAUGGAUCCGCGCCGCAUUAGCUAGUUGGUAAGGUAACGGCUUACCAAGGCAACGAUGCGUAGCCGACCUGAGAGGGUGAUCGGCCACACUGGAACUGAGACACGGUCCAGACUCCUACGGGAGGCAGCAGUAGGGAAUCUUCCGCAAUGGGCGAAAGCCUGACGGAGCAACGCCGCGUGAGUGAUGAAGGUCUUCGGAUCGUAAAACUCUGUUAUUAGGGAAGAACAAAUGUGUAAGUAACUAUGCACGUCUUGACGGUACCUAAUCAGAAAGCCACGGCUAACUACGUG
rnacentral:rRNA from 1 species